UAUGUUCAAUACACUAGGUUUAAUGCCACUUGAUGUCCAACCUAUGUUCUUUGGCACUAGAUUCAUAUCCUCUAUGUCCAACCUAUGUCCAUGACUCUAGGUUUAAUGCCACUCGAUCUAAUGUAUAUAAGAUUGUCCAUAUGCACAUUCCAUUUCUUAACUUAGUAUCUGUACAACAUGAUCAUCAGUAUAUCUUAGCAUUAGCAACAUGCUUGUAUUUAUUAUUUCUACAUCAUGCUUAUCAUACCAUUACUUAGCAUUACUCAAUGCAUUCAUCUAGCACUAUUUACACUAAGUCAUCAUGCAUUCCUCUUAUCAUGUUCUUAUAAUGUUAACAUUCAUAUGCCCUUUAUCUAUGCAUUCAAAGCAUUAAUCACAUACAUUUAUCUAGCAUUUCUAUAAUAUGUUAACAUGCAUCAAUAUGAAAUCUCAUUUCCUAUACAUAAAGGGCGACCUAGGUCGCUUCGGUAAACACAACCCACCUCAUUUCGCGUUCCGAUUGCUUGUCGACACUUGCAAUCGCCGCCCCGGCGACCCGCACUCGGUUUGGCCCGAUCUCUUGCACGACACCCGAACGGCUCCAAUUCACGAUCCGAAAAUUAAAGUAUUCGUUAUGUGCCACGAUGCUUCAAAUCCAUUUUCAUGAAUUUACGAUAUCGCCUCGGCCCUCCAGGCGAAAACGAAGCGCUAAACAUCCAUUUCUUUAAUAACUUCGCAAUGGCUCGACGAAUCGCCGAACGUCUUCCGCCAACGCGUUCGUUUACCUACAUUAGGUUUACGGAGGGUUAAAUGAGAUCAAACCCUCAUAUUUUACAAAAUCCCAUUUUCUAAGCCUAAUAUGAAUAAUCUCCAAAUAAUCCAAAUUAAAUGGAGCAAACAUGUUUAGAAUGCUCAUUAGAGCUAUUAGAACACUUAAGACUAAGGGAUUAAGCCAAUCCUAAAGCUUACCUCAAUGUGAACGCCGCGACGAAAACACACCGCUCAACGGGCCGCACUGAAAGCUCAAUCUCGUCGCCUCCAACGCGUUCGCGAGCAUCUUCUCCACCAACCCCGCGAAUUUGAGAGAGAGAUAUGGAGAGAUGAGAGAGAAAUCUAGAGAGAGGAAUGAAGGUUUCUCUCACUAGCACCAUGCGUGCGUGUGUGUGGGUGCUCGGCUGAAGGAGAGGAAGAAGAAGCUUCAGCUUCUUUAUAAUACACCCGACACUAUCCGUCCCGUGAAGCUCAUUAUAAUACACCUGACACUAUUCACCUCCCGGGCAGCAUGAAAUCUGAUAACUUUCAGCCGGAGCUCCCUGAAUGUCCGUUUGGAGCUCAAACUUGAGAGUCAUGUUCGGUUUUACUUAACUUAACAAGCCUGACGAUCACGUGUCAGUUUCGACCCCCGUUGGUCACUGAAAACUGUACCGAACUGCAAUCUUAUCAGAUAGCUUUCGGAUUUUAUUUCUCACUCUUGGGUGUCAGAAAAUAUGAAAAUUUUAAAUCUACCUCAUAAAAAUAUUUCUGACCAUCUCUGCAAUUUUCAUAAUUUUCUGAGACUGUGCAUUUCUGCUAAUUUAUACUGCCCGUUUUCCACAGAAAAUUCAUAAAUCUUCUGUUUUAAUUCCGAUUUCAGCAAAAGUCACUUCUGACUUAUGUUUUCUUCUAUAAAUCCAAUAAAAUAGUUUCCACACACUAUUUUAUUUAUUUUUAUUUUAUUACCAAAAUCUGGUAUGUUACAUUCUCCACCCUAAAAAGAAUUUCGUCCGCGAAAUUCAAACAACGCCUCAAUUCAGCUCCUUGAGCAAUUGAGGGUACCCACUCAUUCUCCCACUCCAAAGCGGCUUCACACAAUCGUGGUUCCAGAAGCGGCUCAUACUGAGGACAUGGUUUUAAUCCUAAACUCAUUUGGCAAAGUGUGAUACAAACGUGCAUCACGGGUCUUGCAAGUCAUAGUGGCACGCAAGUCGUACUCGACGACUCUACGCGCUCCAACACACUCGCCACUCGGUACGCAAAGAACUCUUCUUUGCACUGGCCUUCCUUUUGGAAUAUUCAUCAAUUCGAUCAGCCGACAUUGCUUAGAAGCAAUAUCACCGGUGCACUCGUUCCGUGCGUGAGUGCUCUAAUUUGGCACUGACCCUAAACGUUAACGUGAGAUGCCUAUCUUAGCACAUCCCCAAUUCCAUCCCUCCAAGUCCACGUGGCUUUACUACUCCGCUCAAGGUCCCACCACAGAGCACUUCAUCUUCUGAUACCAUAUGCCACGGUCAACAUCGAACUACUCGCAACGAGCUCACGCGAAGUGCUUCGUUCGUAAAUUCGAGUCAAAACUCCUCGAUAAGGCCACCUGCCAAAUCGCUCUCUUCGGUCUCUCACAGGUAGACCAAAGGCACCAAUCCUAGGUAGCCUACUAACCUAAACCUGUCUCAAUACGCAGCGUCUCCUCGCCGCAAAUGCAGAGCCCAAUCAUGAUCGGGCGAAAUUCUCACUUGGAAUUCGCACACACUCCAACCAGAGCAACUUAAGAUCCCAAACCACGUCAAGUCCGCGGUGGGUCAUAACUAUACUCGGUGUACCAUCGGUCACACAGUCUAUCGCGUGGCAUUCCACGCUCCCAAGCUUAAACUCGGACGUACCGUCCUGACCAGAACUCCGCCCUACCGCGUAGUACCGGGGGCCACUGUCACCCAAGCUGACUGCACCUGCCCAAAGGGCGCAGGCUCCACAGUCCACAAAUGGUCCAGGCAACAGGUCGUCCCAAGCACUACCCGCCGUCGUCGUCCUGCACGUCCAUACUCUAACCGAGUCACCAGUCCCACGAGUGAUCCAGGUAUCGCUUCACACCUGAGCAAUGCUCAAGUGCUACUGCCAAUACCUCACAUCGGUUGAAUCCACAUCCGUACUCUACGGGUCUCUACACUCGAGCGCUCUAAUGCCUCUACAGCGUUCCACCACGAAGUCCAGCAUUAGGCAAUCUUGCCUAUACACAACGUCGGCCGCACGAGCACAACCGCCUACCUCACCUUGAGGUACUACUAGGCCCACGUGCUCAGACUUGGCCGCUAAUCGACCGUUCUCUCAACAGUGAUGCCACUUUCAUCGUUCGAUCUACCGGAAUGACAUCCGAAAUUUUCGGGCCACUCGGGUGUUCUCAUAUGCAUCAUGGCUCAACUCUCGCGAUUUACAACUUAUAUUGCUCUGAGAGUUAUUUCGACACUUCUAUCUCUACCGCGAGUCUCACUUCUCGCCAUAGAUUACUUCUAGCACUUCGCUAGUGCCAUCUGGCUCUAUACCUGUACUGGCAGGUACUACGCCCUCACAUAAUACAAAACUCCAUUUCUAGAGCAAUCAAAUCUAUCUCUAGAAAUCCACCAUGAGAGAGAGCUUAGAAGCUUACUUCUCCAAGAAGCUCUAACCAAGGAAAAAAAAUGAAGAAGAUGAGGAAGACCUCUUUCUCCUUCUCUUUCUUUCCUUUCCUUCCUUCUUCCUCUUGUCUUCUAGAGAGAGAAAGAGAGAUAUGAGAGGGUGUGUGGGUGAGGAAUAAGAGAAAAGAGCUCUCAUACCCCUCACAUAGCCCCACAUGUUGCAUAAGCGCAAACAAGCCCCUUAACUUUUAUUCCUUUACACUGCCCUGACUGGGCCAUUUUCAGGUUCGGGGACCGGUCUCCCCGACGAGGGACCGGUCUCCGAGAGCUUCUCCCCGCAGUCAGCAGAGCUCACACCCGAUGCAACCGGUCUUUCUUUGGGGGACCGGUCUCUCAGGGACCGGUCUCUCCAGCAGGGACCGGUCUCCGAGAGCUGUCCACCAAGGACUUAGCCGAUUUUUCCUCCCUUUCGCUGUCUGCGCGUGCGGGGACCGGUCUCUCCCACCAGGGACCGGUCCCCGAGAGCACAAAACCUGCAGUUUUGCAGAUUUGAUUUCCAAAGCUCUCGAAGAUUCCCAGUAAUGCACUUUUGCAUUAUUUGACGCCUUCGGCCUUUUUGAAGCGUACCAACCUCGCUAUUUGGUCAAUUUGACCAAGGUUCGAUGUUCGCUUACCGAAGUUUCGGUAUAUUACAUACCCACUCGACAACUAGCCGAUCCUGGACGAAGUCCAACUCUCGGCUCUCGAGAAUUCACUUCAUUACGACCAUGCUAUACCGGUACACCCCUGGCAUUAAAUCGGUAACACAUGUUCCAGAAUCUCGAUUUUUUUUUUUUUUUUUUUGCACCGCUUCGACUCCAAUUCGCGUCGAGCAAUGCUAAAACUAUUCUAACUCUUUUAGAACUCAAUUCUAACCUUUCCAACAUUGUUGGAAUGUUAAUUGAACUUUGCCCAACUACUUCUCUCAACGCACUUUGGUCAAUUUGACCAAAACUAAUCUAACAUGAUGAGGAUUCCGUUAAUUUCUCAAAGAUCAUGAGAGACGCCAAAACUCGCGAAGCUUCCAAUCUCCGCUCGCCUCAAAUUGCCCAGGGACACCACUUGGCCCGUCUCACGCCAAUCUAAAUGAAGAUCGCCUACGCAGUGCUAUCGCUUUCUAAAACGCGACAACUUUAUAAAUCCUCGACCUUCUAGGUCGAACACGAAACACUUAAUACCGACUCAAAUCGGGCGAAAGUCACGCAAGGGCGUCUAUUCUCAUCACUCGACUUCAUGUUGUGUGCACCCAACAUGAACACCCUCUGUUGAGAAUAAACCUCACCUUGAGUCUACCUCUAACAUCCGUUUUAGAGGUUUAUGACACAACCCAAUCAAUUAACCUUUCGCCAAAAGAAACAAGUCCUCGUCUCUCACGAGCCUUAAUCUCCUAUGGUUUACUAUCCUAGGGUCUCCUAGGUCCAACUAAACCAUUUUCUAUUAUUCUUUUAUGUUCUCUUUAUGCUUCUUUUAUUCUCUGAUACCAUCUUAUCUGUCACGCCCCGCGACCGCCCGCCUAUUUGGCCGCGUCGCGGCGCCGCCGACAGAUCGCCGAACGGACAGGGUUUCCCCUGUACCGCGGACAGAGUCUCCCCUGUACGUUCAAGGCAUAGCAAUCAUACAGAUGUGCGAAGUUCCAAAGGAACACUUGCAAUCAAGGAUUGCAUAAUGGAAGGUAUCAACAAAAAUAACAUCCUAUGUUAUUACAUGCAUUCAUAUUCAUCAUUUUUAGAUCACAAAUCUCAUUGAUUUCCAAACAUUAGCUCAUUCAUUAACUUUCCAAAUACAAUCCAAUUUUAACAUGAUUAUUAAAUCUUAUUCCAUUCAUUUUUUACAUUUUAAGAAAGCCGACUCACGAGUACCGCUAUCUCUGGUCUCGGUCGGUAGGGCGCUAUACUAUGGAGUACGCCCUCGCCUCGGCGCGCGCGCUCACGUGUGAACCUAACCCCCAAACCGUGGGGUGAGACAAACUCCAUGGUUCCCAGUGGGGGUACGGCCACCCAAGGAAAGCUGACAAUAGUCCAAGGGAGGCAACUGCAAGUUAGUUCAAUAACAGGAUGAUAUAUAUCUUUAUUAUGCAACUAAUAAACCAUUGCUUUGCUCACGAAUGAUAUAAUGCCAUGCUAUAUACGAUAUGCACUAUUACAAGGUAGAAUGAUUGAUUUUACUUUGUUCAUGCUAUCCAUAGCUUUUUCAUAAUUUAUACAUCUUAUCACUUUACAUCAUUGGUUAUUUGCUCCUAGGUUGUUCCUCUACCCUAGCCAAGCUAUCACCCACUCGGUCUCGAAGUCAAUCAACUGCGAGAAUACCCACCAAAACUAGGCUGGCGAGUGAUGGACGUUCUCACAUACACCUCAGCAAUAAAUCUCUCAUACUGAGUACCAAACUCGUAACAUAAUGCUAUACAUUCACUUGGCUUUGACCCAUCUUACGGUUAACCAUGUUAACCCCAAUGACUCACAACCCAAAUCCCUUAAUAACGGGGGACUCGACCUCCCUAGGGACCGUUUCUGGGGGGACUUUACACGCCCGUGUGACAUCCCGGGCGCACGCGAGAGGGGAGCUACCUGCCCUCAAGCCAAGACUUAUCGUGAGUAUCGAUCAAUCUCAACUUGAGGAUUCAUAGACCACUAGUCACAAUGCCAAGUACGCCAUAGGUUUCUACCUAUUUAAUCAUGCUACUCUAUGUCAAAUGGUCCAAUGCCACUCUUUGUUAAACUAUGUUUAACAACUAUAUCCUCUAUGCAUAUCAAUGUCUCUAUUGUCAAUCUUGCCUUUGUUUACUAAUGUCCAAGUCCAACUCUCACAUUCACACAAUAAUAGGGUUCUAACAUACAUGUCCAUUAUGGUUCGAUCUUUCUCUAUGUUCAACUACGUUAGAAACAUGUCAUUGAAAGUAACUAAGGUUCACAUGUACUUAGCCCUAUUAUGUAUGAAUGAUACAAAUAUAUAUGCUCAAUGCCACAAGUGUUUGCUAGGUUCAUGACACUAGGUUCACACUACACUUGUUCAACCUAUGUUCAAUACACUAGGUUUAAUGCCACUUGAUGUCCAACCUAUGUUCUUUGGCACUAGAUUCAUUUCCUCUAUGUCCAACCUAUGUCCAUGACUCUAGGUUUAAUGCCACUCGAUCUAAUGUAUAUAGAUUGUCCAUAUGCACAUUUCCAUUUCUUAACAUUAGUAUCUCUACAACAUGAUCAUCAAAUAUAUCUUAGCAUUAGCCACAUGCUUGUAUUUAUUAUUUCUACAUUAUGCUUAUCAUACCAUUACUUAGCAUUACUCAAUGCAUUCAUCUAGCACUAUUUACACUAAGUCAUCAUGCAUUCCUCUUAUCAUGUUCUUAUAAUGUUAACAUUCAUAUGCCCUUUAUCUUAUGCAUUCAAAGCAUUAAUCACAUACAUUUAUCUAGCAUUUCUAUAAUAUGUUAACAUGCAUCAAUAUGAAAUCUCAUUUCCUAGACAUAAAGGGCGACCUAGUCGCUUCGGUAAACACAACCCACCUCAUUUCGCGUUCCGAUUGCUUGUCGACACUUGCAAUCGGCCGCCCGCGGCACCCGGCACUCGGUUUGGCCCGAUCUCUUGCGCGACCACCCGAACGGCCUCCAAUUCACGAUCCGAAAAUUAAAGGUUUUCGGUUAUGUGCCACGAUGCUUCAAAUCCAUUUUCAUGAAUUUACGAUAUCGCCUCGGCCCUCCAGGCGAAAACGAAGCCUAAACAUCCGUUUCUUUAAUAACUUCG
rnacentral:lncRNA from 1 species